AGUUUAGAGCCAAAUAGUUUUCUUCCAACAGAGACGGUCAUAGCAAACCCAGACAGGAGCGGGCAGGAGCAGAGACGUGAGCCCUGCUCUCUAACUAGUGGUAUUAUCACCCAUUUGUGGCUCCUGAGAGAGAACAGCGGGGCAAGCCAGGCCUUAGCACUGUGCCUUGCAUUAAUUAACAAGCACGGACCUGGCCUUUCAGGUACACCAGGGAUGGGCCUCUCUCCCUCGUCUUAGGUUCUGCCGGAAGCCAGGGUGAGUCCUGUACAGAUUCUGAACCCUUCUUUAUGUGCACAGACCCAACUCUCACGCCUACCGAUGUUGGUCUGUGCUACUCCUUCAUCCAGGCAGCAAAUCAGCACGGACCCAGGGUAAGUCAUAGAAAUCAGGAAAAUGAGGUAGUUACAGAGCCUGCUAAGGAGCCCAAGAAGUGAGAGUUAGGGCAGAAAGCCUCUUCAGUCACUCCUUCACCAGGCCAUUCUUUUAUUCCUGAGUCACCCUCCACACCCCAGCGUUCAAACUGAGACCCAUCACUCUUACCAGGACAACUAGAGAGCCGAGGAGCAUGUCGCAGGCACUCGAUACACACAAAGUGUGAAAAAGUCAAGGGACUGGUUUUUGAUGUGAUUUAAGGAAAUCAGUCCUUUUGUUUUAGAUCCACGUGAUUCAUCU
rnacentral:lncRNA from 1 species